rnacentral:rRNA from 1 species
GUGGGGAAUAUUGGACAAUGGGCGAAAGCCUGAUCCAGCCAUGCCGCGUGUGUGAAGAAGGUCUUCGGAUUGUAAAGCACUUUAAGUUGGGAGGAAGGGCAUUAACCUAAUACGUUAGUGUUUUGACGUUACCGACAGAAUAAGCACCGGCUAACUUCGUGCCAGCAGCCGCGGUAAUACGAAGGGUGCAAGCGUUAAUCGGAAUUACUGGGCGUAAAGCGCGCGUAGGUGGUUUUGUAAGUUGGAGGUGAAAUCCCCGGGCUCAACCUGGGAACUGCCUCCAAAACUGCAUGACUAGAGUACGGUAGAGGGUAGUGGAAUUUCCUGUGUAGCGGUGAAAUGCGUAGAUAUAGGAAGGAACACCAGUGGCGAAGGCGACUACCUGGACUGAUACUGACACUGAGGUGCGAAAGCGUGGGGAGCAAACAGGAUUAGAAACCCGAGUAGUC